GUAGUCUAAAGAGGCGACGCCAGGCAAGGUCCGGGGAGAAGUCCCUUGGAACAGGGCAUCGGAGAGGGUGACAAUCCCGUCUGUGCCUCGGACCGCGUCGUACGGUGCGUCUUCGACGAGUCGGUUUGCUUGGGAUUGCAGACCAAACGGGUGGUAAAUUCCAUCUAAGGCUAAAUACGGGUGGGAGACCGAUAGCGAACAAGUAC
rnacentral:rRNA from 16 species